rnacentral:rRNA from 1 species
UACGUAGGGUGCAAGCGUUGCCCGGAUUUAUUGGGCGUAAAGGGCGCGUAGGCGGCUCUGCACGUUCGUUGUGAAAUCGCCCGGCUCAACUGGGCGGGGUCAGCGGAUACGGCAGAGCUUGAGCAAGCUAGGGGGCAAUGGAAUUCCCGGUGUAGUGGUGGAAUGCGUAGAUAUCGUUUGGAACGCCAACGGUGAAAACAGACAGCUGGGAGUGUGCUGACGCUGAGACACGAAAGCCAGGGGAGCGAACGGG